UACGAAGGGUGCUAGCGUUGCUCGGAAUCACUGGGCGUAAAGCGCACGUAGGCGGCUUUCUAAGUCAGGGGUGAAAUCCUGGAGCUCAACUCCAGAACUGCCUUUGAUACUGGAGAGCUCGAGUCCGGAAGAGGUGAGUGGAACUCCGAGUGUAGAGGUGAAAUUCGUAGAUAUUCGGAAGAACACCAGUGGCGAAGGCGGCACACUGGUCCGGUACUGACGCUGAUGUGCGAAAGCGUGGGGAGCAAACAGG
rnacentral:rRNA from 1 species